CUCGCAGGCGGACAAUUAAGUUGGGUGUUUAACCUUCAGGCUCAACCUGAAGUCGGCAUCCAAAACUGAUUGUCUUGAGUCCCAGAGGGGAAAGUGGAAUUCUUGGUGUAGCGGUGGAAUGCGUAGAUAUCAAGAAGAACACCAGUGGCGGAGGCGACUUUCUGGCUGGGUACUGACGCUGAGGAGCGAAAGCGUGGGGAGCAAACA
rnacentral:rRNA from 1 species